CGGGUGAGUAACGCGUAAGAAUCUACCCCAGACUGAGGGAUAAGCCCUGGAAACAGGGUCUAAUACCGCAUACGCUCUACGGAGUAAAGCUACGGCGGUUUGGGAAGAGCUUGCGUCUGAUUAGCUAGUUGGUACGGUAACGGCGUACCAAGGCGACGAUCAGUAGCUGGUCUGAGAGGAUGGCCAGCCACACUGGGACUGAGACACGGCCCAGACUCCUACGGGAGGCAGCAGUAGGGAAUUUUCCACAAUGGGGGCAACCCUGAUGGAGCGACGCCGCGUGCAGGAUGAAGGCCUUCGGGUUGUAAACUGCUUUUAUCUGUGACGAAUAUGACGGUAGCAGAUGAAUAAGGAUCGGCUAACUCCGUGCCAGCAGCCGCGGUCAUACGGAGGAUCCAAGCGUUAUCCGGAAUUACUGGGCGUAAAGCGUUGCGUAGGCGGCAGGUAAAGCGGAGUGUGAAAUCGUGUGGCUCAACCAUACGGCUAUGCUCUGAACUCACCAGCUAGAGAGCGAGAGAGGUAACUGGAAUUCCUAGUGUAGGAGUGAAAUCCGUAGAUAUUAGGAGGAAC
rnacentral:rRNA from 1 species